GUGUCAGCAGCCGCGGUAAUACGUAGGGUGCGAGCGUUAAUCGGAAUUACUGGGCGUAAAGCGUGCGCAGGCGGUUUUUUAAGCCAGACGUGAAAGCCCCGGGCUUAACCUGGGAAUGGCGUUUGGGACUGGAAGGCUGGAGUACGGCAGAGGGAGGUGGAAUUCCACGUGUAGCAGUGAAAUGCGUAGAGAUGUGGAGGAACACCGAUGGCGAAGGCAGCCUCCUGGGCCAGUACUGACGCUCAUGCACGAAAGCGUGGGGAGCAAACAGGAUUAGAUACCCUGGUAGUCCACGCCCUAAACGAUGCGAACUAGUCGUUGGGGGAGCAAUCCCUUAGUGACGCAGCUAACGCGUGAAGUUCGCCGCCUGGGGAGUACGGUCGCAAGAUUAAA
rnacentral:rRNA from 1 species